GGAUGGGUCCGCAUCUGAUUAGCUAGUUGGUGGGGUAACGGCCUACCAAGGCUUCGAUCAGUAGCCGGCCUGAGAGGGUGGCCGGCCACACUGGGACUGAGACACGGCCCAGACUCCUACGGGAGGCAGCAGUGGGGAAUCUUCCGCAAUGGGCGAAAGCCUGACGGAGCAACGCCGCGUGAAUGAAGAAGGCCUUCGGGUCGUAAAGUUCUGUCUUUGGAGACGAACAUUCUAUAUGUAAAUAAUGUAUAGAACUGACGGUAUCCAAGGAGGAAGCUCCGGCUAACUACGUGCCAGCAGCCGCGGUAAUACGUAGGGAGCGAGCGUUGUCCGGAAUUACUGGGCGUAAAGGGCGCGUAGGCGGGUAUUUAAGUCAGAUGUGAAAACUCCGGGCUCAACCUGGAGACUGCAUUUGAAACUGAGUAUCUUGAGGGCAGGAGAGGAAAGUGGAAUUCCUAGUGUAGCGGUGAAAUGCGUAGACAUUAGGAGGAACACCAGUGGCGAAGGCGACUUUCUGGACUGUACCUGACGCUGAGGCGCGAAAGCGUGGGGAGCGAACGGGAUUAGAUACCCCGGUAGUCCACGCCGUAAACGAUGAAUACUAGGUGUAGGAGGUAUCGACCCCUUCUGUGCCGCAGUUAACACAAUAA
rnacentral:rRNA from 1 species